rnacentral:rRNA from 1 species
GUCUUAUUGAUAAUAAUUUUAAGUCGACCUGCCCACUGAAUAAUUAAAUGGCUGCAGUAUAACUGACUGUACAAAGGUAGCAUAAUCAAUUGGUUUUUAAAUGAAAUCUGGAAUGAAAGGAUUAAUGAAAUAUAUACUGUCUCAUAUAUAUUUUACGAAUUUAAAAUUUUAAUAAAAAUGUUAAAAUUUGUUUAUGGGACGAUAAGACCCUAUAGAAUUUUAUAUUGCUACAUCUUAAUUGUUAAUUUAAAAAAUGUAGCAAUAUUUGGUUGGGAGGACUAUUAAAUUUAAAAAACUUUAAUUUAUAAUAACUUUAAUUAAAGAGUAUAAAAAUGAUCUUCAAUUUGAAAUAUCAAGAUUAAAUUACCUUAGGGAUAACAGCGUUAUAUUUUUUUAUAGAUCACAUAGAAAAAAAUGAUUGCGACCUCGAUGUUGAAUUAAGAUAAAUUUUAAACGCAGGAGUUUAAUAAUUAAGUCUUUCGACUUUUAAAAUCUUACAUGAUUUGAGUUCAAAUCGACGUAAGU